CCGGGGUUAACUCCUAAGCCACCUGCUAUGCCCAAGGGAUAUGCGAUCUCUUUUCCGGAUUAUUCUGGAGGGGCACGGGGCUUCGUGGACACCCUUGUUUCUUCUAUCUCUCCCUGCUGUCCUGUCUGCCUCCUUUCAGAUCCCUGGAGAACCUAACAGAACCAAAGGGACCUUACUGUCCAAACAGCAGCAUUUUGGAGCAAUCUCGGAAGCUUGGCCAGAGAACAGGGAGUGAGGAGGCUCAGCUCUCUUACCACUUUUCCAGGCUGUGGGGUUCCUGUGCUCGACGUGUGUGGUGAAGGAAGUGGUUCUCCAUGAGGGACGUGCCAGGGACAGAGUGCCCACCGGCCCCUUGGAGCUUACGGCUCUAGGAGGAAAGCAGGACAGGCAGAAGAGCUGCAGACAGACGUCAAGUGAUGAGCCGAGAAGCUACUCUCUGAACGUCUUCCUGUAUGAGAGCAAAGCAUCAUGGACAGAUCCUUUGGAGAUGAACACUCAGAGGAGCCAACUCACCAAGUGGAGACUGGGACACAUUCCUGGUGCUGCUCCAGGCUCCUCUUCUCCUUCCGCUUCUGAUCCUGACCGGUGUAGUCAGAAGACAAUGGUGUGAGAGCACACAAGGAGAGAGGUCGGACUGAGGCGAGAAGACAUGAGCUUCAAGAGAGCAGCAUUUGAAGACAGAACCUCAACCAACUCUACUGCAGACUGUAUCCAGAACACAUUACCACACCCAUCAAGAUGCUCUCUGGGCAAGCGGCUCUCCCUCACACUCACAUCCUGCCUGCCCUCCUUAGGCAUCUGGGGUGCCCCAAUCUCAGUUCUCUCUGCUCUCAUCAGAAUCAUCCACAAGAAAAGACACACCAGCAGGCUAUCUCCCGUGCAAGCCUGCAGUGGCUCCCAUCUUCCCGAAGUCUGGGCCUCCCUCUUCAUUCCCCUCCUCUUUGUCUUCUAUGUCACCGACUGGACUUCAGGUCACUCUAGGAACCCCUAUAUACCAUUCUCUCCUCUCCCAGUGCUACCUAGUUUAGGGUUGCCAGAUAAAAUAGGGGUGAACUUUUGGGCCUAAAUUUUAGAUAGAAGAUAAAGCCUUCCUUAGAAUGUGUGUGUUCCAAGUGUCAUGUUCAUGGUUUUUCUGAAGUUCAAAUGCAAGUGCAUACCUUGCCCCGGUCCUUACUAAAAUCUCAUGCCCAGUCUACCCCUUCACACCCAUGCAUCCCUGAGCUCAGGAG
rnacentral:lncRNA from 1 species